CAAUAAAGCAGCUGGUUUUACCACCCUGGGAAAAAGGAGGGAGCACCCACAGGCCAAGCCUUGAGGUUCCUCCAGCCAUAGCUCUUAAGACACUCAUUUUGGAUAACUUUCACAGGCUUUCUGUGGUUGGGAUCUAAAACAGCAGUUUAUUUCUUCAUUUUCAUUAACGCCAGCCCAGGAAGUUUUUUAAACAAAGGGAUUAUUCUGAGUCCUUCAGAGACAAAAGGCCACUGUUUGAUUUCAUAAACUUGGGGUUUUCUCUAAUACCUCAUUUUCCUCCUCAUGCUCCAAGAUGGCCUGCAGGAAUGCCCUCCGCUCGUGGCUUGAAGACUUUUGGUCAAACAUGCCCGCCUGGAUCACUUUCUGAUCCACGUUCAGCUUGUAUUUUGCGGCCGCGAGGAUCUUUUCCUCCACGCUGUUCACGGUACAGAGCCUCAGUACCCGGACCUCGUUCUGCUGCCCGAUGCGGUGAGCUCGGUCUUGGGCCUGCAGAUCCUGUUUGGGGGGUCAAUAUGCUAUGAGGACUGAGAUGCCUGGCAUAGGCAUCCAAAACCGGACCCCACCCCAGAGGGAAAUAUGGAAGGGUUCUGUAUUUCACCUUCACUAAGUUGCUCUCCAGAGGGAGGCCUGGGCACCUGAGUGGGACAUGCAGACCUGAUGAGGAUUCCAGUCGCUGUCAAAGAUGACCACUGUAUCAGCUGCCUGAAGAUUUAAGCCCAGGCCACCAGCUCUUGUGCUCAGCAAGAAAAUGAAAUACUGGGAUCCAGGUUCAUUGAAUUUCUUCAGCAAAGCAGCACGAUCUUCAGACUUGGUGGUGCCUGAGGGGAUCAGAAAAAUUAAUUUGCCAAUUAACUCUUGUCUGAAAAUGGCACAGAAUGAGACAAAAAGGCUUGCUUCCUUCAAGAAAUAUACCCAGACUCCUCCUAACACUGAAUUGGCUUUCUGAGAUCAUGGUGAACUAUCUGUUCACGACGCUAAUGGAAGAUAUUUCUGCUGUGAAACCUUCUCUAUCAUCUUUCCAGCUACAAGAAUUUUUUUAAAAAUUACAUGUAUUAAUGGUUCACAUAUUUCUCCUCUGCCUUAAACUGAAUGAAAAGCCACAGAAACCAAAAAUUUCUUCUAAAAUGGGGAAAGAAGAGAUCAUGGCAUCUGUGUUUCUGAAAACUGGGUACAAAACUAUACAUCUAUACUCUCAGGAUAGAAGUUCAACAGUUUUGAUUAACUGAAAAUGAACCAGCUGAUAAUCACACGGAUUAAUGAAACCGAACAGUUAAUCUCAUCAGGUCUGCCUGCCCUGCAUGCUUCUGGUUUCUUGCUUUUUGUUAUUUUUGUUUUCUCUUUUUCCAUGAAGCUGAAGGCUGCAGUAGCUGAAGGUCUUGCUGCUGAAUGCUCAAACUUGACCUUCACUGGCUACUUUACAGAUAACAUGCAUACGUCACCAUGGUAAUGGUUACUUCAGUUGUUUUUCAGGAACUUUGGCCAGCUCUGUCCAGUUCAAACCCGUUGACACCACUGGCCCUUAAACUGGGCCUGAGCGCAAGUGCCCAAGAGAUGGCCUUUUGAUGUUGGAGAGCCAAAAACUCCACCAUCAGAUCAUGCUGACUCUGCCAUUUUUUGUAUGUAUGUCCUAGGAAAUGCCAUGAACCCUGGCUAUGCCUGUGUAGAACGAACCUGUGAUUUCAUUUUUCCCCACUGCCAAUCACCUUUCCCUGUGCCUUACACCACCCCACUUCCUUACCCCAUAAAUAUCCCUAAACCUUAUCUUCAGGGAGGUAGAGUUGAGGGCUGUUCUUCCAUCUUUAUGCUUGGUGCCCUUGUGAAUAAAUCUUUUCUCUUUUGCAAAAC
rnacentral:lncRNA from 1 species